rnacentral:lncRNA from 1 species
UAAUGACAAACUGGCAUGUAACAUAAGCAUACCUUUUGAUGCAACUCUUGCAUCAGGCUUUACAUUUGCAAGAAAACUCUUGCAAUUUCUUUUCCAGUGGCCAGCUUUGCCGCAAUGGAAAUAGAUAUUUGAUCCGGAGAUUUUCUUUCCUUUCUUCCUCUUUAUCUUGCUACCUUUAGUAGCAUCAUCCCCCAUUGAUCCAAGAUCAGGAGUUUCGAAGAAGUAGGAAAUUUUCUCCUGAGUGAGUACAAUAUUUAAAUUCCUCAA